UGGGGAAUCUUCCGCAAUGGACGAAAGUCUGACGGAGCAACGCCGCGUGUAUGAUGAAGGUCUUCGGAUUGUAAAGUACUGUCUUUGGGGAAGAAUGACUGAUUUGAAAAUAUUGAGUCAGUAUGACGGUACCCAAGGAGGAAGCCCCGGCUAACUACGUGCCAGCAGCCGCGGUAAUACGUAGGGGGCAAGCGUUGUCCGGAAUUAUUGGGCGUAAAGGGCGCGUAGGCGGAUUUUUAAGUCUGGUGUGAAAGAUCAGGGCUCAACCCUGAGAGUGCAUCGGAAACUGGAGAUCUUGAGGACAGGAGAGGAAAGUGGAAUUCCACGUGUAGCGGUGAAAUGCGUAGAUAUGUGGAGGAACACCAGUGGCGAAGGCGACUUUCUGGACUGUAACUGACGCUGAGGCGCGAAAGCGUGGGGAGCAAACAGGAUUAGAUACCCUGGUAGUCCACGCUGUAAACGAUGAGUGCUAGGUGUAGAGGGUAUCGACCCCUUCUGUGCCGCAGUUAACACAAUAASCAC
rnacentral:rRNA from 1 species